AUCAAUAAGCGGAGGAAAAGAAACUAACAAGGAUUCCCCUAGUAACGGCGAGCGAACCGGGAAGAGCUCAAAUUUGAAAUCUGGCGUCCCCCAGGGCGUCCGAGUUGUAAUCUACAGAAGCGUUUUCCGCGCCGGACCGCGUCCAAGUCCCUUGGAACAGGGUAUCAAAGAGGGUGACAAUCCCGUACUUGACGUGACCCCCGGUGCUGUGUGAUGCGUCUUCGACGAGUCGAGUUGUUUGGGAAUGCAGCUCAAAACGGGUGGUAAAUUCCAUCUAAGGCUAAAUAUUGGCGAGAGACCGAUAGCGAACAAGUACCGUGAGGGAAAGAUGAAAAGCACUUUGGAAAGAGAGUUAAACAGUACGUGAAAUUGUUGAAAGGGAAACGAUUGAAGUCAGUCGUGUCCGAGGGGUUCAGCCGGUCCUGCCGGUGCAUUCCUCUCGGACGGGUCAACAUCGGUUUUGACCGGCGGAAAAGGGCGCGAGGAAGGUGGCACCCUCGGGUGUGUUAUAGCCUCGUGUCGCACACGUCGGUCGAGACCGAGGAACGCAGCUCGCCCUCACGGGCCGGGGUUCGCCCACGUACGAGCUUAGGAUGUUGACAAAAUGGCUUCAAACGACCCGUCUUGAAACACGGACCAAGGAGUCUAACAUACCUGCGAGUGUUUGGGUGUCAAACCCGAGCGCGCAAUGAAAGUGAACGUAGGAGGGAUCCGCGAGGAGCACCUUCGACCGAUCCGGACCUUUUGAGAUGGAUUUGAGUAAGAGCAUGUAUGCUGGGACCCGAAAGAUGGUGAACUAUGCCUGAAUAGGGUGAAGCCAGGGGAAACUCUGGUGGAGGCUCGUANCGAUUCUGACGUGCAAAUCGAUCGUCAAAUUUGGGUAUAGGGGCGAAAGANUAAUCGAACCAUCUAAUGNCUGGU
rnacentral:rRNA from 1 species